AGUGUGACGGGGUUACCCAAAGUGUUCAAUUUUGAACUGUGGUAGGUGAGUAAUGUUCCCUACUAGAAAGGAGAGGGCAAGGCUGGUGCCAGCCGCCGCGGUAAAACCAGCUCUUCAAGUGGUCGGGAUAAUUAUUGGGCUUAAAGUGUCCGUAGCCGGUUUAGUAAGUUCCUGGUAAAAUCGGGUAGCUUAACUAUCUAUAUGCUAGGAAUACUUCUAUACUAGAGGGCGGGAGAGGUCUGAGGUACUACAGGGGUAGGGGUGAAAUCUUAUAAUCCUUGUUGGACCACCAGUGGCGAAGGCGUCAGACUGGAACGCGCCUGACGGUGAGGGACGAAAGCCAGGGGAGCGAACCGGAUUAGAUACCCGGGUAGUCCUGGCCGUAAACGAUGCAUACUAGGUGAUGGCACGGCCAUGAGCCGUGUCAGUGCCGUAGGGAAACCGUUAAGUGUGCCGCCUG
rnacentral:rRNA from 1 species